UACGGGGGGGGCAAGCGUUGUUCGGAAUUACUGGGCGUAAAGGGCUCGUAGGUGGCCAACUAAGUCAGACGUGAAAUCCCUCGGCUUAACCGGGGAACUGCGUCUGAUACUGGAUGGCUUGAGUUCGGGAGAGGGAUGCGGAAUUCCAGGUGUAGCGGUGAGAUGCGUAGAUAUCUGGAGGAACACCGGUGGCGAAGGCGGCAUCCUGGACCGACACUGACACUGAGGAGCGAAAGCCAGGGGAGCAAACGGG
rnacentral:rRNA from 1 species